rnacentral:tRNA from 2 species
GCCCCGAUAGCUCAGCUGGAUAGAGCGUCCCCCUCCUAAGGGGAAGGUCUCAGGUUCGAAUCCUGAUCGGGGCACCA